rnacentral:rRNA from 1 species
UUCUUGUUUUUAAAAGACCUAGUAAUAGGUAUGCUUAGGGAGGAGCUUGCGUCACAUUAGUUAGUUGGUGGGGUAAAGGCCUACCAAGACUAUGAUGUGUAGCCGGGCUGAAAGGUUGAACGGCCACAUUGGGACUGAGACACGGCCCAAACUCCUACGGGAGGCAGCAGUAGGGAAUUUUCGGCAAUGGAGGAAACUCUGACCGAGCAACGCCGCGUGAACGAUGAAGUAUUUCGGUACGUAAAGUUCUUUUAUUAUGGAAGAAUAAAUGAUGGAAAAAUCAUUCUGACGGUACCUAAUGAAUAAGCCCCGGCUAACUAUGUGCCAGCAGCCGCGGUAAUACAUAGGGGGCAAGCGUUAUCCGGAAUUAUUGGGCGUAAAGGGUGCGUAGGCGGUUAAAUAAGUUUAUGGUCUAAGUGCAAUGCUCAACAUUGUGAUGCUAUAAAAACUGUUUAGCUAGAGUAAGAUAGAGGCAAGUGGAAUUCCAUGUGUAGUGGUAAAAUGCGUAAAUAUAUGGAGGAACACCAGUAGCGUAGGCGGCUUGCUGGGUCUUUACUGACGCUGAGGCACGAAAGCGUGGGGAGCAAACAGGAUUAGAUACCCUGGUAGUCCACGCCGUAAACGAUGAGUACUAAACGUUGGGUAAAACCAGUGUUGAAGUUAACACAUUAAGUACUCCGCCUGAGUAGUACGUACGCAAGUAUGAAACUUAAAGGAAUUGACGGGACUCCGCACAAGCGGUGGAUCAUGUUGUUUAAUUCGAAGGUACCCGAAAAACCUCACCAGGUCUUGACAUACUUCUGCAAAGCUGUAGCAACACAGUGGAGGUUAUCAGUUGCACAGGUGGUGCAUGGUUGUCGUCAGCUCGUGUCGUGAGAUGUUGGGUUAAGUCCCGCAACGAGCGCAACCCUUAUUGUUAGUUACCAGCAUGUAAUGAUGGGGACUUUAGCAAGACUGCCAAUGAAAAAUUGGAGGAAGGUGGGGAUCACGUCAAAUCAUCAUGCCCCUUAUGACCUGGGCUACAAACGUGAUACAAUGGCUGUUACAAAGGGUAGCUGAAACGCAAGUUUUUGGCCAAUCUCAAAAAAGCAGUCUCAGUUCGGAUUGAAGUCUGCAACUCGACUUCAUGAAGUUGGAAUCGCUAGUAAUCGCGAAUCAGC